rnacentral:hammerhead_ribozyme from 1 species
AUCCAGCUGACAAGUUUCAGAUAGGACGAAACGCGCGUCAAACUGGGU